GUGGCGAACGGGUGAGUAACGCGUGAAUAACCUGACUCAAAGAGGGGGAUAACAACGGGAAACUGUUGCUAAUACCGCAUGAGACCACAACACCGCAUGAUGAAGGGGUCAAAGAUUUAUCGCUUUGAGAGGGGUUCGCGUCCCAUUAGGUAGUUGGAGGGGUAACGGCCCACCAAGCCAACGAUGGGUAGCCGAGCUGAGAGGCUGAUCGGCCACACUGGAACUGAGACACGGUCCAGACUCCUACGGGAGGCAGCAGUAGGGAAUAUUGGGCAAUGGGCGCAAGCCUGACCCAGCAACGCCGCGUGAGGGAAGAAGGUUUUCGGAUUGUAAACCUCUGUCCUAUGUGACGAAGGAAGUGACGGUAGCAUAGGAGGAAGCCCCGGCUAACUACGUGCCAGCAGCCGCGGUAAUACGUAGGGGGCGAGCGUUGUCCGGAAUUACUGGGCGUAAAGGGUGCGUAGGCGGUUUGGUAAGUUGGAUGUGAAAUACCCGGGCUUAACUUGGGGGCUGCAUCCAAUACUGUCGGACUUGAGUGCAGGAGAGGAAAGCGGAAUUCCUAGUGUAGCGGUGAAAUGCGUAGAUAUUAGGAGGAACACCGGUGGCGAAAGGCGGCUUUCUGGACUGUAACUGACGCUGAGGCACGAAAGCGUGGGGAGCAAACAGGAUUAGAUACCC
rnacentral:rRNA from 1 species